rnacentral:rRNA from 1 species
AACGAAUGCUGGCGGCAUGCCUAACACAUGCAAGUCGAACGAGACCUUCGGGUCUAGUGGCGCACGGGUGCGUAACGCGUGGGAAUCUGCCCUUGGGUUCGGAAUAACAGUUAGAAAUGACUGCUAAUACCGGAUAAUGUCUUCGGACCAAAGAUUUAUCGCCCAGGGAUGAGCCCGCGUAAGGAUUAGCUAGUUGGUGAGGUAAAGGCUCACCAAGGCGACGAUCCUUAGCUGGUCUGAGAGGAUGAUCAGCACACUGGGACUGAGACACGGCCCAGACUCCCU